rnacentral:rRNA from 1 species
ACGGCAGCACGGAGCUUGCUCUGGUGGCGAGUGGCGAACGGGUGAGUAAUAUAUCGGAACGUACCCUAGAGUGGGGGAUAACGUAGCGAAAGUUACGCUAAUACCGCAUACGAUCUAAGGAUGAAAGUGGGGGAUCGCAAGACCUCAUGCUCGUGGAGCGGCCGAUAUCUGAUUAGCUAGUUGGUAGGGUAAAAGCCUACCAAGGCAUCGAUCAGUAGCUGGUCUGAGAGGACGACCAGCCACACUGGAACUGAGACACGGUCCAGACUCCUACGGGAGGCAGCAGUGGGGAAUUUUGGACAAUGGGCGAAAGCCUGAUCCAGCAAUGCCGCGUGAGUGAAGAAGGCCUUCGGGUUGUAAAGCUCUUUUGUCAGGGAAGAAACGGUGAGAGCUAAUAUCUCUUGCUAAUGACGGUACCUGAAGAAUAAGCACCGGCUAACUACGUGCCAGCAGCCGCGGUAAUACGUAGGGUGCAAGCGUUAAUCGGAAUUACUGGGCGUAAAGCGUGCGCAGGCGGUUUUGUAAGUCUGAUGUGAAAUCCCCGGGCUCAACCUGGGAAUUGCAUUGGAGACUGCAAGGCUAGAAUCUGGCAGAGGGGGGUAGAAUUCCACGUGUAGCAGUGAAAUGCGUAGAUAUGUGGAGGAACACCGAUGGCGAAGGCAGCCCCCUGGGUCAAGAUUGACGCUCAUGCACGAAAGCGUGGGGAGCAAACAGGAUUAGAUACCCUGGUAGUCCACGCCCUAAACGAUGUCUACUAGUUGUCGGGUCUUAAUUGACUUGGUAACGCAGCUAACGCGUGAAGUAGACCGCCUGGGGAGUACGGUCGCAAGAUUAAAACUCAAAGGAAUUGACGGGGACCCGCACAAGCGGUGGAUGAUGUGGAUUAAUUCGAUGCAACGCGAAAAACCUUACCUACCCUUGACAUGGCUGGAAUCCUCGAGAGAUUGGGGAGUGCUCGAAAGAGAACCAGU